rnacentral:SRP_RNA from 1 species
UAGCGGGGCACGCGAGAAAGAAAGCUAACCCGGUCAGGCCUGGAAGGGAGCAGCCGUACGCUUCUCCUUUCUGUGUUGGGCCCCGCGAUUU